GAUGAAGAACGUAGCGAAAUGCGAUAAGUAAUGUGAAUUGCAGAAUUCAGUGAAUCAUCGAAUCUUUGAACGCACCUUGCGCCCUUUGGCCAUUCCGAAGGGCAUGCCUGUUUGAGUAUCAUGAACACCUCAACUCCUCAUGGUCUUCUAUGAUGAGCUUGGACUUUGGGGGCUUGCUGGCCCAUUUGGUCAGCUCCUCUCAAAUGAAUCAGCCUACCAGUGUUUGGUGGCACCACAGGUGUGAUAACAAUCUACGCUUGAGGUUUUCCACCAGGCAACCUUCAGUAAUUGGGGUUCACUGGGGCUCACAAAUGUCUUUCUUCAGUGAGGACAGAUCUUUGAAUGUUUGAUCUCAAAUCAGGUAGGACUACCCGCUGAACUUAAGCAUAUCAAUAAGCGGAGGA
rnacentral:misc_RNA from 1 species